rnacentral:rRNA from 1 species
CCUACGGGAGGCAGCAGUGAGGAAUAUUGGUCAAUGGCCGUAAGGCUGAACCAGCCAAGUAGCGUGAGGGAAGACUGCCCUAUGGGUUGUAAACCUCUUUUAUGCGGGGAUAAAGGUGUCCACGUGUGGAUGUUUGCAGGUACCGCAUGAAUAAGGACCGGCUAAUUCCGUGCCAGCAGCCGCGGUAAUACGGAAGGUCCGGGCGUUAUCCGGAUUUAUUGGGUUUAAAGGGAGCGUAGGCCGGUCUUUAAGCGUGCCGUGAAAUUUUGGGGCGCAACCAUGGGAGUGCGGCGCGAACUGGGGACCUUGAGUGCGCGGAAGGCAGGCGGAAUUCGUGGUGUAGCGGUGAAAUGCUUAGAUAUCACGAAGAACCCCGAUGGCGAAGGCAGCCUGCCGCAGCGUUACUGACGCUGAAGCUCGAAAGCGUGGGGAUCGAACAGGAUUAGAUACCCUUGUAGUC